UGGGGAAUAUUGGACAAUGGGCGAAAGCCUGAUCCAGCCAUGCCGCGUGUGUGAAGAAGGUCUUCGGAUUGUAAAGCACUUUAAGUUGGGAGGAAGGGCAGUAAAUUAAUACUUUGCUGUUUUGACGUUACCGACAGAAUAAGCACCGGCUAACUCUGUGCCAGCAGCCGCGGUAAUACAGAGGGUGCAAGCGUUAAUCGGAAUUACUGGGCGUAAAGCGCGCGUAGGUGGUUCGUUAAGUUGGAUGUGAAAUCCCCGGGCUCAACCUGGGAACUGCAUUCAAAACUGACGAGCUAGAGUAUGGUAGAGGGUGGUGGAAUUUCCUGUGUAGCGGUGAAAUGCGUAGAUAU
rnacentral:rRNA from 1 species